UGUAGCAUAAGCGUCAUAGAAAGAAAGCAGUCAAAAUGGCGUCGGUUAUAGGAUCAGAAGUGGAGAUCCAAGAGGUUGAGGUGGAGUCCAUCCCCGUUGAAAUGCCCAUCGAGACGGUGGAAACCACAGACGAUACAGUCGAAGUGCAACCCAUGAUUGCUCUCCAGCCAUUACCCGAAGCGGCCCAAGAAGAGAUUGUUCUGCAGACUCGUGAGGAGGUGGUUGGUGAUCCGAACCUCGUGUAUGCUGACAGCAUCCCCGUACCAGCUCCAGAGAUUGAAAUAUCCACAGAAGAAGCAACCAUCACCCGGAAAGGCAAAGGUGGCAAGAGACGAGCCAAUAAAUCACGAAAUAUGAUAUCGACAUCAGCUGUAAAUUGUGGAGAACUGACGCUAGACACUAACUCUGCUACAAAGAAAUGGGAACAAAAGCAAGUACAGAUUAAAACUUUAGAAGGCGAAUUCUCAGUAACAAUGUGGGCUACAGGAUCUGAAGAUAAAUCCAAGCUGGAAGAUGAAAGUGUGUCGAGUGUCUCUGAAACGGAUGCAGAUUUUACUGAAUAUAUGACAGGGAAAAAGCUUCCACCAGGUGGCAUACCUGGGCUUGAUUUAAGUGAUCCGAAACAGUUGGCAGAAUUUGCACGUAACACCUCUACAGUACGUGCGAGGAAAGAAAAACGUGACCUGACCGUUGACCUGGAUGGGCUUUACCAUUCGCGCCUUUCUGGAAUAAAACCAAGAAAGCCUACUGAUGAUGUUCCCCGUACAGUGCCCUGCCCUCAUAAGGGUUGUAAUAAAAUGUUCAGAGAUAAUUCUGCUAUGAGAAAACACCUUCACACCCACGGGCCUCGGGUGCAUGUGUGUGCUGAGUGUGGUAAAGCCUUUGUGGAAAGUUCCAAACUGAAAAGGCAUCAGUUAGUUCACACUGGUGAAAAACCAUUCCAGUGUACAUUUGAAGGGUGUGGCAAGCGGUUUUCUCUUGACUUUAAUUUAAGGACACAUGUACGAAUACACACUGGUGAUAGACCUUAUGUCUGUCCAUUUGAUGGCUGCAACAAAAAAUUUGCUCAGUCUACAAAUUUGAAAUCUCAUAUCCUCACACAUGCUAAAGCAAAAACGAGAUGUGCAGAUGAACUGAAUUUAAUGCAGGGAAUUGGCAUAUGUAGUUAUGAUGAUGGGAGUGAAUUGCUUAUGCUCUAGUCCACGGUGCUCACGUCGGCGAGCCUGAGACACCACAAGCCCCCUGAAUUUAAUGGUCUCUAAACUCAAGAAGCUUCCUGCUGGAAAAUACUGUAUAUUGUGAGGAAGAAGCAGAUGAUUGUUAGCAGCCUUUCUUUCCUGGAUUCCUA
rnacentral:misc_RNA from 1 species